rnacentral:tRNA from 1 species
UCCCUGGUGGCUCAGAGCGUAGAGUAUCUGCCUGCAACGCGGGAGACCUGGGUUCAAUCCCUGGGUCGGGAA